AGCUCAGUCGGUAGAGCAUGAGAC
rnacentral:piRNA from 10 species